rnacentral:lncRNA from 1 species
AGGACAGCGGCACCCGGGGGAGGCUGGGCCAUGGUCUCCCGGACCCGGACCCCGGCGAGCACCCAGCGGCCGAGCGUCACAGUCACAGGCGUCCAGCGCAGCUACGCCCCGGAGGCCCGGGCCUCACGUGACCGCCAGACGGCGCGCCAUCCCCGAGCCCCACGACUGCGACGCGGCUCACCUGAACCCCAACGUAGGCAGCAGGACCUGGCUGAGGUGCGCGCGCAGCUGCCCGAGCGUCGGUUCCGACUCCCGCACCUCGAGCGGCUGGGUCCGCUUCUGAAGCCGCACGCGCAGCUUCAUGGCGACAGGACCGCAAGCCUCGGACGGCCCCGGGGAGAAACCGAAAGCAAGUAGCUCCGGGCCUGCACUCCCGAGGAAUCCCCGGCGCUCGCCGCGCUCUCGACUACGCCCCCUAGAGCCUUCCGCUCGAGCGGAGGCCCGAGCGCCUGCGCUUCCCCAGCGAUGGCUCGGCGCGCGACAGCACCACCUAGGGGCGAGGCGCGCACGGCGCAGGCGCUGGGUUUGCUUCGGCGCACUUGA